AUUGAACGCUGGCGGCAGGCCUAACACAUGCAAGUCGAGCGGAGCGGCGGACGGGUGAGUAAUGCCUAGGAAUCUGCCUGGUAGUGGGGGAUAACGUCCGGAAACGGGCGCUCAUACCGCAUACUAUGAGAUGAGCCAAGGUCGGAUUAGCUAGUUGGUGGGGUAAAGGCCUACCAAGGCGACGAUCCGUAACUGGUCUGAGAGGAUGAUCAGUCAAACUGGAACUGAGAAACGGUCAAGACUCCUACGUGAGCAAGAGUUGGGGAAUAUUGUACAAUGGGCGAAAGCCUGAGCCAGCCAUGCCGCGUGUGGGAAGAAGGUCUUCGGAUUGUAAAGCACUUUAAGUUGGUAGGCGUUACCAACAGAAUAAGCACCGGCUAACUUCGUGCCAGCAGCGGCGGUAAUUC
rnacentral:rRNA from 1 species